CUUUUAACUUAUGUCUUCUUUUCCUUUUCCUCCCUGUCACUCUUAUAGGUAAAUUGUCAACGACUGCACAUGCUGUAGGUACUCUAAAGCUCAGGACCUAGUAGGUCCUCUUGGCUAGCUGUCAUCUCCCUCUCCCAGACUGCAGCAAGCAUCAGUUAAAAUGAAUGAGGAAGAAAAGAUCUGACGGUUCCCACCCCUCACUCACGGCCCCUGAGUGGCAGGAAUGUCCAUCCCUGCUUAUCUCCAAGACGUCAGGAAACUAUCCUAGAUUGCACAGCACCAAGAGGUUUGAACCGAGUUCUGCUCUUUUGCUUGUCUCUCCCUCCAUACUGCAACCAUUAGUGACUGACAUGCACUGAUCCUCUGAAGCCCUGAAAGAUUCCAUUCCUGCCUCUGUUGCUUCUCUGAAAAUGAACUCUGGAAGUUAGCCGUCUACUGUACCAGAGCACAUUUUCCUAUUUACCCUAAGCUUGUAAACUCCAGUUCUAAAAGCCCCCACCCACAACAUCUCGGGUUUCAGGAUUUCAGCAAGUUCUCUGCUCAUUUAGGUCUUUCAUUGUGCUGUAGAUUUCCACCCUGUUUCACCUAAACUCGCUGUUAGGUUCCCUCUCUCCCUGCCCCCCUCUUUGGAACCCAGGACCUUGAGUAUGCUGUGCAAAUACUCUCCCAAUGAGCCAUACUCGAAGCUCUGUUCUCUAACCUCUCUAGGCCCAUAGCAUCCUCCCUAAGAGCUACUUACUGAUCAGUCUUGCACUCAGUUACAUGGUUUCAUGCAAGGGUGGAAGAAAGUUCUAUUUUUUUUUCCCAGUCAUCUUUGUUAUGAUGCUUUUUUUUUUUUUUUGGUCUUUUGGUUGAAAGUUGAACCUUGAGUUUUCAAAGAACUGUAAUGAUUUCUUUAUUUCUUCCCUGACAUGGAGUCCUUCAUUUUCUGCAUACUUUCAGUGAUUUUUUUUUCAAAAGCAAUGGGAACACAAGCCCCUAAAAUGUAUAUGAGAAUGUGAUGGAAGUAGUUGCAGUGUGAGUCUAUAUUUAUUUAUCAAGGAGAGCAAGGGACACAUAAAAUAAGAGGAACAAGGUCUUAGCCAGGACCUGAGUGAACGUGAGGACUGAGGAGUGGAGCCAGCAGUGUGAGAAGUAAGAAUCGAAUUUUACUUAUGGGUGGAGGGUGAGAAAAGAGGACUUUUUAAGACUACUCAUUGUUAACAGUGCUCUGCACUUGUCCUGAACACUCACUCCCUAGCUGAGUUGUCUUGUUCACAAAUAGGAUUCGGGGUUCCCUUCUGCUCAACUGGACUCUAGUUAGAGUUGGAGGUCAGGGAGGGUGGUCAUUGUAGUGGCCAGAGGCGUCAGGGCUCUCCC
rnacentral:lncRNA from 1 species